rnacentral:lncRNA from 10 species
AAAAGAGGGAAGCAUGGAAAAAAGCCAAUGAGGAAUUACGACGCCACCACUGGAGGAAGUGGGUUAGAGUCAAGAUGGCUCACAGGGAGAAGUCCUUGCUUAGCAGGCCUAGAAACCUAGCACCUGUAAUUGUGCCUCCCUCUUUCUAGGAAGACAACAAACUGUCUUUCAGCUUUGUCUACCAGGUACUGGAACCUCUCUGUGGCCAGAUUCCUGGGGCCGGGUGAAUUGUCAAUAGGCAACUGCAGUCACUCAGAAUCUUUCUAGAAUGAGUAACUCAAAGACAGGGGUUUGUUUGAUCCAUUUUGAACUACCGCAGCAUGUAGCUCAGUCUUUGGCUCUCAUCGGGAGACUUCCAAGUAAACUGAAAAAAGGCAGGAGCUGCUGGGUCAACUGGCAGAUUCAUCCAGGUCACAGAAAGAUGGGGAAUUGUAAGAGAAGAAAUGAACACUGAGGCCAUUUCUCUUAAGUGGGGAGGGCUUGGAGUAGAAAGCAUGAAAAAUGCCCCUCCUGUGCUGGGCUCACUUCUCAGGGCCUAGGACAAAGGCAGGACAUGGUGUUCCUGCUUUCACAGUGAUUGAAAAAAACUGGUGGCAGCACACAGCUUGCUGCCGGGCAGACAGCUUGAGUGUCUUCACUACUACUCUUGGUGGUUCAAGGGCAGGUUUGCCUCAGCCCUUAGAACACAGUUCCCUGGAUUCCUUGGCCCUCCCACAUCUCGAGAGCAGCAGUAACUACUUCACUGUGGGCUGUGAGGAGUCUCUUAGUUGGACAAUGUUAGUAUAUGCAAUUGAUUCAGAGCCUAACUUCAUUUCUUCCUAACUUCUAACUGGUUUCUUCCAAGUUCCUACACUUGGCCUGGCUUCCUUUUCCCUGAGUUGGUCAUCAAGUACCCAAAUGGAAUCCAUAUUCUAUAAAUUCUUCCUCUCCGAUCUCUGGAGGCAGUAGAGUAGUGCUUAAGGGUACAUGCUCUGGGGUCACACUGCCAGGGUUCACAGCCCAACUCUUGUUUGCCAGCUAUGCACCCUUGUGCAGUUUACUUACCUUUCUGUGCCAGUUUUUCAUCUCUAUAAUGAGAAUGACAAUAGUACUUAACUCAUAGAUCUGUUGUGAGGAUUAAAUGAGAUUGUAAUGAGCCUGGCACCUAGUUAGGGUUCAGUAAUAUUAGCUAUUAUUUGGAAUGAAAAGUCUUUCUUUCCCUCUUGCACACCCCUGCUUCUCUAGUUUCAGAUACUUGUUCCUCCUCUCCCCAACGAACUUCUCCCAUCCUUCUCCAGACGUUGCAAGCCUUUCAGUGCUAAAUGUUCUUAAAAGAAGAGAUUUCCGGCUGGGCACGUUGGCUCACGUCUUUAAUCCCAGCAUUUUGGGAGGCAGAGGCGGGUGGAUCAUGCGGUCAGGAGAUGGAGACCAUCCUGGCUAACAUGGUGAAACCCCGUCUUUACUAAAAAUCCAAAAAAAUUAGCCGAGUGUGGUGGCGGGCGCCUGUAGUCCCAGCUUCUCGUGAGGCUGAGGCAGGAGAAUGGCGUGAACCCGGGAGGCGGAGCUUGCAGUGAGCCGAUUGCGCCACUGCACUCCAGCCUGGGCGACAGAUGUCUCAAAAAAAAAAAAAAAAAAAGAAUGGGUUUCCUUUUGAUCUUUUCCAUCUCUUGUAUGUCCCAUACCCAGGUAAUCAUUUUUUAAUUAUUUUUGUAUUUUCUGAUACAUAUUUUACAUAUUUAUGGGUCAUGUGGGAUACUGUGUCAUAUGCAUAAAAUGUGUAAUGAUCAAGCCAGGAUAUUUGAGGUGUCCAUCACAUUGAAUAUUUAUCAUUUCUAUGUGUUGGGAACAAUUCAAAUCCUCUCUUCUAGCUACUUUGAAAUAUGAAAUUCAUUGUUGUUAACAACAGUCACUCUACUCUGCUGUCAAAUGAUAGAACUUACACCUUUUAUCUAACUAUAUGUUUGUACCUGUUAACUUACCUCUCUUUAUCCUCCCUUCUCACCCAUACACCCUUCCCACCCUGUAGUAUUCAUCAUUUCUCCCAGGUAAUCACUGAUUAUCAGAAUUGGAAAGGUCUUUUAUAAAUAAUCUAGUUUAAUUUGCUCUUUUUACAGAUUGUCAAAAGUUGGAUCCAGAAAGAUAAAGCAACUUAGUAAAGAUCACAUUGAACUAGAAUCACAACUUAGUCCUAUAGAUAUUAGCAAUGUCAGACAUCAAAGCCUGAACAUUUAAUUCUAAUAAAUUCAACAUAUAUCCAGUAAGGAUCUACUAUUAGUGUGUGUGUGUGUUUGUAUGUGGUAGUAGGCCAUACGCUGAGAGAGAUACAAAGAUGAUUUCAAAUCACUUGUCCACUAGAAAAGCUGGCUCUAGGAGGAGGUUAUGAGGCAUUGUAUGUCUUGGGGGGUAGCUCUCCAUUCCUCUUAUACAUAG